CUAGGCCUACGGGAGGCAGCAGUGGGGAAUAUUGGGCAAUGGGCGCAAGCCUGACCCAGCAACGCCGCGUGAAGGAAGAAGGCUUUCGGGUUGUAAACUUCUUUUCUCAGGGACGAAACAAGUGACGGUACCUGAGGAAUAAGCCACGGCUAACUACGUGCCAGCAGCCGCGGUAAUACGUAGGUGGCAAGCGUUAUCCGGAUUUACUGGGUGUAAAGGGCGUGUAGGCGGGGACGCAAGUCAGAUGUGAAAACCACGGGCUCAACCUGUGGCCUGCAUUUGAAACUGUGUUUCUUGAGUACUGG
rnacentral:rRNA from 1 species